UCACCUCUAACCGUAAUCCACCCAAUUUUCGUAUUUUCUGCUCCGGCUGCCCUAUUGGAGAACGUCCCCUCUCACGGCGGCUCCCUUCCGCCGCUCUCAUCGGAGAAUCUCCGAUUUUCUCGGUAGCAAUCCACUCGAUUCCCCUCUGCUUGGCUUCGCCGAGAAAUUGAUAGAAAUUUUAUGGAAUUUCGUUUUGUGGAAUGAUUCGCCGAUUGUAGAAUUUACUAUCACGAAAAUGGGGAAAAAUCAAGCUUACAAAGCGAUGCAAUGAUCUCGGUUUGGCUCGAGCUCCGCCGCGCCGGAUGAGGUCGAAGAUAGCAUGAUGGUCUCUGAAGAUUUUAUUGUGGUGUGUAGGCGUUUCUUGGUAAACUAUUGCAUCCAGGUUUCUCUGCCGGGACUUACUAAUACAGACAUCUUGUUCCAGAACUUUGGAGUUAUGGGAUCAGAUGCAGAAGGGUUACAAAAGAACAUGUUCAGUGUGGGAUUAUGCUAGGAUGCAAGAGCUCUGCUGAUCCACAAGGAUUUUGCUAUGUGAAGGUAAAUCCCCCUUCUGUAUAUCCAGAUUCAUUUGUUUAUUAUGAAGUAUUUGGCUUUACUGUCUUAAGCUAUAAUAAAUGCUGAUGUUCAUUAUUCUAAUGUCCGAUGAGCAAGAAGGCACACAGAGAAGAUGCACUUCUUGGUGAGAACUCCUUACAUUUUCUCAAACUGGCCAAAAUGCUUUCUCAUCAUCUUAUUACCACAAAAUGCUUUCUUAUCUUCUUACUUGUUUUGCAUAUGUAUGAUGUAUCUAUACAUUUAUAUAAUAGAUUGGAUCUGUGCUACCUUUUUGUAGUACAGAUAUUAGAAGAAAAUAUAGGAUUCUCACUUAAUUAUCUAAAUGGUAUUAGAACUAGGUCUACAUACAGGAGAUAUCUAUAGUCAGUGACUCGGAGAAUAAGAAGUAAAGAAAAGAAGGAUGAUUUCAGUAAGAUCUUCAUGUACUAAUUCGUUCACUUGGGAGGAGAUGAAGUGAACAUGAGUUGCUGGGAGACAAAGCCUCAUGUUAAAAAAUGGUAAAAUCUUCUGCUUCAAUCUUUAAUAAAAAUGCUGCGAGAGAAGUCACUAUUGAGGUGCGCGAGCAGUUGGAGAAGCAAACUGAGGUGUCGCGUGCGGAGUUGGAGAGGCAAAAUGCAGCAGCAUGUGCUGAAAUAGAGAGCAAAAUGCGAGUUGCGCCCAGAUUUAGAGAAAAAAAACAUAGGAGGUUGGAACGGUUGAUGAACCUAUUCAGUGAAUAGGUUGACGAAAUGAUAAGUCAAAAAUAGCUCAAGUCUUUAUAAACUAAAAGUGUAAAACAAUAUUAUUAAUUUUAUAUAAUUUUUUAGUUUGUUACUUUUUA